UACAGAGGGUGCAAGCGUUGUUCGGAAUUAUUGGGCGUAAAGGGCGCGUAGGCGGUGCGGUAAGUCUGUAGUGAAAUCUCUGGGCUCAACUCAGAGUCUGCUAUAGAAACUGCCGUGCUUGAGUGUGGGAGAGGUGAGUGGAAUUUCCGGUGUAGCGGUGAAAUGCGUAGAUAUCGGAAGGAACACCUGUGGCGAAAGCGGCUCACUGGACCAUUACUGACGCUGAGGCACGAAAGCUAGGGGAGCAAACAGG
rnacentral:rRNA from 1 species